AGGUACUGUCGCACCAAGUGAAAAUGGUGGCCUUGUUCUUCUUGUGGGCCCCAAACUUCUUGAUCUUCCUAUUUCUUUAAUCUUCUUUCAUGAUCUUCUUUCUAUUCUGCUUCAGAGUUCUACCAAUUGAUAUCAAGGUGAGACUUGAUGAUGCCCAAAACUAAGACGGAAGAGAAUCAAGAGGGUCAAGGAGAUAGAAGAGAGUCAAAUAUAAAGAUUACCAGAGAUAGAGGUGGAAAUAUAGAGGUUACCGAAAAUUGAAGCUAAUUUGAGGAGGUUAUUAAUGAUAGAAAUAUAUAGAGAGAAU
rnacentral:lncRNA from 1 species